GCUGGAUUAGCUCAACUGGUAGAGUAUCUGUUUUGUAAUCAGACGGCUCGGGGUUUGAGUCCCCGAUUCAGCA
rnacentral:tRNA from 1 species